AUUACUCCGUGCUAUUUCAUUAUUGGUAUUCUUCAAUAUGCAUAACAUUGAGAUGGAGUAAUGAAUCUAUCCAUAUGAUAGAACACUGGUGAAUAAUAGGUCCAUGAUCUCUGAGACUAUGUGUCAUGUGGGGGCGCACGUAUAGGCGCCGGCCACCUAGGGCAGAGAAGGACCUAACGUCUGGGUCAGCUUAGUUAAUUUGAGUAACUAAGAGUCUAGAUUGGAGAUAGAAAGGUUUCAUCCGGUAGAAGGUUUUCCCUACUGUUUCCAAUCUGAUUAGGAGUCCUAUUCCAAUUCUGUAAGAGCCUAGCUUGAUCCCCAAGUUUGUAAUGGCUAUUUAUAGCCCCCCCCCCAGUCAAUCAAUAAAGCAAGCAAGCAAAAACCCAAAACCCUAUUUUCCCCUGUGCCUUGGGCACCCCAAUUCCCUGCCGAGUAAAAUGCUACGUAUUUUGAUGAUGCGGCACAUUUCUGGCAGGGAUGGCCCACGUACUGACAGGUAUUUGGCUGGCUGUACAUUUUUGUGGAACCCCCUCUGCGACUUCCUCUUUUCUAUCCAAAGCCCAUCGAUUCGUUUAUAAGACUGAAAGCAAAACAAAUUGAAAAAAAAAAAUCCGCUGGGCUGCCGAGACCGCAAGCUGCCGCAAUCUGAUGCCCGGUCUCGUGCCGCCGCUGCUGUGCGUCUUGCCACGCGCCGCCGCUGGGCUGGCUGCGCAACGCCGCCGGGACUGGUUACUGUCUUGGAGCACCACGGAGAUCAGUGGGUAGUUCAGGUCGGUGCCCGAGGUAUUUCUGUUUGUCGCCCCGGGCCCAGGCCUGCGCGCGCCUCCUCGCGCUCCGCUACGGCGAAGGACUUGGAAAGUCAAGAAAUUCUCAUCAAAACAUCGAGAAAUUCUGCAUAUAGAAAACUCUAAAGAAAGAAAAAAAGGAGACCCAUGCCAUGAUUUUCAAAUCUUUUCCAUUUAGUAGUCUAAGUUUCUCGAUGAGGAUAAUUAAUUCGGUCGUUGUGGUCGGACUCUAUUAAGGAUUUCUGACCACAUUCCCCAUAGGGCCCUCUUAGAUCUUCUUUCUCCAAUCUUGGAUUAGGGAAGAAGGGGAUAUUCGCGACUACUGGCGGUUUCAUUAUGGGGCAGCUCAUGAUCUUCAUAUCGAUCUAUUAUCCACCUCUGUAUCUAUUCUUUCUUAGCUAAACGGGUGGAAGAUCCAUCCAAUUUGGUUAUAUCAUGGACUGAAAAAACAAACGGAUCUGAAUUUGACUGAAAUGCACGAUCUACGCCGAGGCAUGCGAGAACGGAUUCGUGUCCCUCGUCUUCGUCAAGAACUCGCUCGUUCACCUCUGUGCCGACUGAACGUGUGUUUGGCAGUGAAUGGAUUUAGGAAGGAUGCGCUUCACCCAUGGGCGGAUCCAGCAUAUAAGCCAUGGGGGCCAAUGCCCCCACUCAAUUUUGAUUCACUAGUACAAAUGUUAGAUUUUCACCAUUGAUGUCCCCACUAAUUUAAGUUAGAGCUUCUUAAGAAUGUCUAAGUGCCCCCUCUUGACUUUUUUUCUGGCUCCGCCCUUGCUUCAGCCUCGUGAUGGAAAGGAAGAAGCUUACGCCAACUGAAAUCACUAUGAUUCUGAUUCCAAAUGAUUUUGAACGAACACCGUGGCCGUGGCUGGUUGUCGGUGACGAUGGUUGUGGUCAUCAACUCGGAGCGGAUCGCCGCCGGCGACCACCCGGGGUGCGUGGACCAGAGCACUAGCAGCGCGGCGGCAUGAGACCUCGGAUCAGAUUCCAGGCCCGUGGGAAUGGCUUGUGUUGCACAACAAUGGACUGGUCCUCAAUUUGUGAACUUGGCGAGCACGGGCGGGUGGCAGAGAAGCCGUGGAAUAUGGUGUCGUAGACGUGGAGAGGCUGGAGGAAUCGGUGGGAUUUGGACAGUAAAAAAAAAGUUGCAGAGGGGGUUCUGCAAAAAUGUACAACCAACCAAAUACCUGUCAGUAUGUGGGCCAUCCCUGUCAGAAAUAUGCCACGUCAUCAAAAUACGUAGCUCUCGGUCGUAUAGGAUCGUAUUGCACCGUAUUUUUUAGUUUGAUGACUCAAAUGUGCAUUUUCAGAGAAUGAGGACUAGAUUGCACGGGCAACACAAGUUCAGUGAC